GACGUAGGGCGCGAGCGUUGUCCGGAUUUAUUGGGCGUAAAGAGCUCGUAGGCGGCUUGUCGCGUCGACUGUGAAAUCCCGCGGCUCAACUGCGGGUCUGCAGUCGAUACGGGCAGGCUAGAGUUCGGUAGGGGAGACUGGAAUUCCUGGUGUAGCGGUGAAAUGCGCAGAUAUCAGGAGGAACACUGAUGGCGAAGGCAGGUCUCUGGGCCGAUACUGACGCUGAGGAGCGAAAGCGUGGGGAGCGAACAGG
rnacentral:rRNA from 1 species